GAACUAAAGUUCCGAGCGGGAGGCAUGGCGGAGUGAAUGCCAUUAGGAAGUAGCACGGUAGUGCGGAUUCCGAAUGGUGUUUAGGAUUACGAAAGCGAAGUAAUCCGUACUUAAUAUC
rnacentral:sRNA from 1 species